rnacentral:rRNA from 1 species
UACGUAGGGACCGAGCGUUGUCCGGAUUCAUUGGGCGUAAAGAGCUCGUAGGCGGCUGUUCAAGUCGAACGUGAAAACUCGGAGCUCAACUCCGAGCCUGCGUUCGAGACUGGAUGGCUAGAGUCUGGUAGGGGGAUCUGGAAUUCCUGGUGUAGCGGUGGAAUGCGCAGAUAUCAGGAGGAACACCGGUGGCGAAAGCGCUCUGCUGGGCCGCAACUGACACUAAUGGACGAAAGCUAGGGGAGCGAAUGGG